UACGUAGGGUGCAAGCGUUGUCCGGAAUUAUUGGGCGUAAAGAGCUCGUAGGCGGUGUGUCACGUCGGCCGUGAAAACCUGGGGCUUAACUCUGAGCCUGCUUCCGAUACGGGCAGACUAGAGGUAUGCAGGGGAGAAUGGAAUUCCUGGUGUAGCGGUGAAAUGCGCAGAUAUCAGGAGGAACACCGGUGGCGAAGGCGGUUCUCUGGGCAUUACCUGACGCUGAGGAGCGAAAGUGUGGGGAGCGAACAGG
rnacentral:rRNA from 1 species